rnacentral:rRNA from 1 species
AUCCUACGGGAGGCAGCAGUGGGGAAUCUUGGACAAUGGGGGCAACCCUGAUCCAGCCAUGCCGCGUGAGUGAUGAAGGCCUUAGGUCGUAAAGCUCUUUCGCCUGUGAAGAUAAUGACGGUAGCAGGUAAAGAAACCCCGGCUAACUCCGUGCCAGCAGCCGCGGUAAUACGGAGGGGGUUAGCGUUGUUCGGAAUUACUGGGGCGUAAAGCGCACGUAGGCGGAUCGGAAAGUUGGGGUGAAAUCCCGGGGCUCAACCCCGGAACUGCCUCCAAAACUAUCGGUCUAGAGUUCGAGAGAGGUGAGUGGAAUUCCGAGUGUAGAGGUGAAAUUCGUAGAUAUUCGGAGGAACACCAGUGGCGAAGGCGGCUCACUGGCUCGAUACUGACGCUGAGGUGCGAAAGUGUGGGGAGCAAACAGGAUUAGAUACCCUGGUAGCGAC